rnacentral:rRNA from 1 species
GACGAACGCUGGCGGCGUGCUUAACACACGCAAGUCGAACGGAAAGGCCCUGCUUUUGUGGGGUGCUCGAGUGGCGAACGUGCGAGUAACACGUGAGUAACCUGCCCUUGACUUUGGGAUAACUUCAGGAAACUGGGGCUAAUACCGGAUAGGAGCUCCUGCUGCAUGGUGGGGGUUGGAAAGUUUCGGCGGUUGGGGAUGGACUCGCGGCUUAUCAUCUUGUUGGGGGGGUCGUGGCUUCCCAAGGCUUUCACGGGUAGCCGGCCUGAGAGGGUGACCGGCGACAUUGGGACUGAGAUACGGCCCAGACUCCUACGGGAGGCAGCAGUGGGGAAUAUUGCACAAUGGGCGGAGGCCUGAUGCAGCAACGCCGCGUGCGGGAUGACGGCCUUCGGGUUGUAAACCGCUUUCGCCUGUGACGAAGCGUGAGUGACGGUAAUGGGUAAAGAAGCACCGGCUAACUACGUG